rnacentral:rRNA from 1 species
AUGAGAACAUUGUCUUGGUGCCUCCUGUCAGGGGUUUUGUGGCAGUGUCCCGGGGAGUUGAGCUCCGAGGUGUUGUCGUCACAAUUUUAUCGUUGCAGUUCUGGAAUACCUGAGUUUAGUUUCGCCGACAUCGAAAAUCUCUUUUAUGCAGUUGUUGGUGAGAUAACCUCGACACCACCUAGUACUGGGGCGGGAGUUCGGGAGUAUUGCCAUAACUCAUAUAACGGAUGCUUUUCGAAGGUUGAGGUAGAUGAUUUCCGAAGGUUUCUUGGUUAUGUGUUGAAGGAUGGAUACAGCUGGAUGUAG